UACGAGGGGGGCGAGCGUUGUUCGGAUUCAUUGGGCGUAAAGGGUGUGUAGGUGGCGCCGUAAGUCGGGUGUGAAAUUUCGGAGCUUAACUCCGAAACUGCAUUCGAUACUGCGGUGCUUGAGGACUGGAGAGGAGACUGGAAUUCAUGGUGUAGCAGUGAAAUGCGUAGAGAUCAUGAGGAAGACCAGUGGCGAAGGCGGGUCUCUGGACAGUUCCUGACACUGAGACACGAAGGCCAGGGGAGCAAACGGG
rnacentral:rRNA from 1 species